AUUGAACGCUGGCGGCAGGCCUAACACAUGCAAGUCGAACGAGUGGCGGACGGGUGAGUAAUGUCUGGGAAACUGCCUGAUGGAGGGGGAUAACUACUGGAAACGGUAGCUAAUACCGCAUACCAUCGGAUGUGCCCAGAUGGGAUUAGCUAGUAGGUGGGGUAAAGGCUCACCUAGGCGACGAUCCCUAGCUGGUCUGAGAGGAUGACCGGCCACACUGGAACUGAGACACGGGCCAGACUCCUACGGGAGGCAGCAGUGGGGAAUAUUGCACAAUGGGCUCAAGCCUGAGGCAGCCAGGCCGCGUGUAUGAAGAAGGCCUUCGGGUUGUAAAGUGCUGUCAGCGGGGAGGCGUUACCCGCAGAAGAAGCACCGGCUAGCUCCGGGCCAGCAGCCGCGGUAAUUC
rnacentral:rRNA from 1 species